rnacentral:rRNA from 1 species
UGGCGAACGGGUGAGUAACACGUGGGUAACCUGCCCAUCAGAAGGGGAUAACACUUGGAAACAGGUGCUAAUACCGUAUAACACUAUUUUCCGCAUGGAAGAAAGUUGAAAGGCGCUUUUGCGUCACUGAUGGAUGGACCCGCGGUGCAUUAGCUAGUUGGUGAGGUAACGGCUCACCAAGGCAACGAUGCAUAGCCGACCUGAGAGGGUGAUCGGCCACACUGGGACUGAGACACGGCCCAGACUCCUACGGGAGGCAGCAGUAGGGAAUCUUCGGCAAUGGACGAAAGUCUGACCGAGCAAACGCCGCGUGAGUGAAGAAGGUUUUCGGAUCGUAAAAACUCUGG